AGUUGCUUGGAGUCAUCCGAUCUUCACCAGAAGAGUGAGUGAUGGAGAGGAGUAUGCUGGUAAUAGAUUGAGUUUUGGCCAGCACUGUAGGCCAGUGAACCAUCGGAGAAAAGAUUGUUGACAUGGAAUUAAGUUAGAAGGUGAUGGAGAUGUGGGCAGCAGUAAGCAUCACACCCGUGAUUUUCAACAGUGGGUUGUUUCGUUCACAAGGAGCACUUUGAAUGAGGAUCCGAGUUGAAUGUGAUCUUCUGGAGUUGUUGAAGAC